rnacentral:snRNA from 2 species
GUGCUUGCUUUAGAAGCAUAUAUACUAAAAUUGGAAUGAUACAGACAAGAUUAGCAUGGCCUCUGUGCUUGUGUGAGACACAAAUUUGUGAAGCAUUCUAUAGUUUU